AAUUUCUGCUUGCUCUGUUCUCUGAAAAGUCUCAUUGGACUUGAUUUUUACUGCCUCUGGCCUUCAGCAGCCAAUUUACUCAUGCAGAAGGGCUUCAGUUUUGCUUUGUUUUAAAUGAAGACCCGAAGGGCGUCCGAUUGGAGAUCUUCACCAAUUUAUAGACU